rnacentral:rRNA from 1 species
UACGGAGGGUGCAAGCGUUAUCCGGAUUCACUGGGUUUAAAGGGUGCGUAGGCGGGCAGGUAAGUCAGUGGUGAAAUCCUCGAGCUUAACUCGGGAACUGCCAUUGAUACUAUCUGUCUUGAAUAUUGUGGAGGUGAGCGGAAUAUGUCAUGUAGCGGUGAAAUGCUUAGAUAUGACAUAGAACACCCAUUGCGAAGGCAGCUCACUACGCAUAUAUUGACGCUGAUGCACGAAAGCGUGGGGAUCAAACAGG